GUUCGCGCUGGUGGAGCACCCCAGCUUGCAGGUUCAGCGUGGGUGUCUCUCCCGGGCACAUCGAGCUGUCUAGAGGAACCCUCUUCCCCUGGCUUCACGGCCCAGAGGACGCACGGCUCUCUCCCCUCGAGAGCGUGUUUCGUCGCCCGCGCGGGGAACGCAAAGUGCUAGGGUAGUCACGGCCACUUCACGCCGAGGGACAUCUCAUCUCGCCCUCCAGGUCGUGAGCGCACCCAUUCCGCUCACUGAGGCCGAAAGCUUCGGACCUCCGUGGGCCCUGAGACUUCAGCGUUCCAUGUCUGCUGUGCUGUGGAACCCAGAGUGCUCUUGCCUGGAUGGCUGAGAAUCCCUUGGACCCUGGAAGCACCUACUCCAUGAUGGCCCGCAGGAGGACCAAACUGGAGACAGUCCUGGCUCUGAGGAAACAGGAAGGAAGGAGGGUGAAAGGAACGUCCACCUGCACACAAAGGAAAGAUGAAAAAGAGUCACCUACCAUGGGACCUGGCAAAGUACUUCAGAACUUUUAUUCCUUCCAGAAGCAGUGUAUCACAAUAGAUUGAAUCAAGAAGUGACAUUAAGGCCAGCGCGGUGGCUCACGCCUGUAAUCCCACCACUUUGGGAGGCCGAGGCGGGCGGAUCACGAGAUCAGGAGAUCAAGACCAUCCUGGCUAACAUGGUGAAAC
rnacentral:lncRNA from 1 species